AUUAAAUGGAGAGAAACUCAAUG
rnacentral:piRNA from 1 species